GGGGAAUAUUGGACAAUGGGGGCAACCCUGAUCCAGCCAUGCCGCGUGUGUGAAGAAGGCCUUUUGGUUGUAAAGCACUUUAAGCAGUGAAGAAGACUCCAUGGUUAAUACCCAUGGACGAUGACAUUAGCUGCAGAAUAAGCACCGGCUAACUCUGUGCCAGCAGCCGCGGUAAUACAGAGGGUGCAAGCGUUAAUCGGAAUUACUGGGCGUAAAGCGAGCGUAGGUGGCUUGAUAAGUCAGAUGUGAAAGCCCCGGGCUUAACCUGGGAACGGCAUCUGAUACUGUUAGGCUAGAGUAGGUGAGAGGAAGGCAGAAUUCCAGGUGUAGCGGUGAAAUGCGUAGAGAUCUGGAGGAAUACCGUUGGCGAAGGCAGCCUUCUGGCAUCAUACUGACACUGAGGUUCGAAAGCGUGGGUAGCAAACAG
rnacentral:rRNA from 1 species